AGAAUUAGAAUAAGAAUAAGAAGAACCAACGAGUCUCUGCUCUCUCUCUCAACUAACUCUCUUGGCCACCUUUUAAAAGGUUUCUUUUUACUUCUUUUUUCCUUCCUUCCUUCUUUUUC
rnacentral:ribozyme from 14 species